UACGUAGGGUGCAAGCGUUGUCCGGAAUUAUUGGGCGUAAAGAGCUCGUAGGCGGUCUGUCGCGUCUGCUGUGAAAACUCGGGGCUUAACCCCGGGCCUGCAGUGGGUACGGGCAGACUAGAGUCCGGAAGAGGAGAGUGGAAUUCCUGGUGUAGCGGUGAAAUGCGCAGAUAUCAGGAAGAACACCCGUGGCUAAGGCGGCUCUCUAGUACGGUACUGACGCUGAGACGCGAAAGCGUGGGGAGCGAACAGG
rnacentral:rRNA from 1 species